UGCAUCGGAAUCGAACCCGGGCCGCCCCCGUGUGGCAGGCGAGCAUUCUACCACUGAACCACCGAUGG